CAAUAGCGUAUAUUAAAGCUGUCGCGGUUAAAAAGCUCGUAGUUGGAUUUCUGUCAAGGACAACUGGUCCGCCCCUCGGGUGAGCACAUAGUUUGGUCUUGGCAUCUUGUUGGAAACUGUUGCUGCACUUGGUUGUGUGGCGCAGUGUCCAGCACUUUCACUUUGAGGAAAUUGGAGUGUUUCAAGCAGGCACAUGCCUUUGGACACAGUAGCAUGGAAUAAUUAGAUUGGGCUUUUGCUCCAACUUGUCGGUUUCUGGAGCUGAGGUGAGAAUUAAUGGGGAUUGUUGGGGGCAUCCGAAUUUAGCCGUCAGAGGUGAAAUUCUUGGAUCUGCUAAAGACGGACAACUGCGAAAGCGUUUGCCCAGGAUGUUUUCAUUGA
rnacentral:rRNA from 1 species